rnacentral:rRNA from 1 species
UACAGGUGCACAGUGUUCGCGAAUUAUUGGGCGUAAAGAGCUUGUAGGCGGUUUGUCGCGUCUGCUGUGAAAUUUCGGGGCUCAACCCCGAACUUGCAGUGGGUACGGGCAGACUAGAGUGUGGUAGGGGAGACUGGAAUUCCUGGUGUAGCGGUGAAAUGCGCAGAUAUCAGGAGGAACACCGAUGGCGAAGGCAGGUCUCUGGGCCACUACUGACGCUGAGAAGCGAAAGCAUGGGGAGCGAACAGG